rnacentral:tRNA from 3 species
AAAAUGAAAAAAAAGGCUUCUAAUCUUUAAAUAGUGGUUACACUUCAUUUUU